rnacentral:rRNA from 1 species
AGACCGAUAGCGAACAAGUAGAGUGAUCGAAAGAUGAAAAGCACUUUGGAAAGAGAGUUAAAAAGCACGUGAAAUUGUUGAAAGGGAAGCGCCCGCAACCAGACUUCGCGGCGGUGUUCCGCCGGUCUUCUGACCGGUUUAUUCGCCGCCGCGAGGCCAUCAUCGUCUGGGACCGCUGGAUAAGACCUUAGGAAUGUAGCUCCCCUCGGGGAGUGUUAUAGCCUCUGGUGAUGCAGCGCGUCCCGGGCGAGGUCCGCGCUUCGGCAAGGAUGAUGGCGUAAUGGUUGUCGGCGGCCCGUCUUGAAACACGGACCAAG